rnacentral:rRNA from 1 species
UACAGAGGGGGCAAGCGUUGUUCGGAAUUACUGGGCGUAAAGGGCGCGUAGGCGGCCUGUUAAGUCGAACGUGAAAUCCCCGGGCUCAACCCGGGAACUGCGUCCGAUACUGGCAGGCUUGAAUCCGGGAGAGGGAUGCGGGAACUCCAGGUGUAGCGGUGAAAUGCGUAGAUAUCUGGAGGAACACCGGUGGCGAAGGCGGCAUCCUGGACCGGCAUUGACGCUGAGG